rnacentral:rRNA from 1 species
GAUGAACGCUAGCUACAGGCUUAACACAUGCAAGUCGAGGGGAACAGUGAGGGCAGCUUGCUUUCCUUUUCGAGCACCGGCGCACGUGUGAGUAACGCGUAUCCACCCUGCCACCAACUUGGGACUAAGCUAGCGAAGGUAAGACUAGUACACUAUAAUCUCCUCAGAUGUCAACUGCCGAAGACUAAUUAUUUAGAGGUUUACGGUGGGGAUGCGUCUGCUUAGCUUGGUGGCGGGGUAACGGCCCACCAAGGCAACGAUCAGUAGGGGUUCUGAGAGGAAGGUCCCCCACAUUGGAACUGAGACACGGUCCAAACUCCUACGGGAGGCAGCAGUGAGGAAUAUUGGUCAAUGGGCGGAAGCCUGAACCAGCCAAGUAGCGUGCAGGAUGACGGCCCUAUGGGUUGUAAACUGCUUUUAUACAGGAAUAAAGUUAGCCACGUGUGGUUAUUUGUAGGUACUGUAUGAAUAAGGACCGGCUAAUUCCGUGCCAGCCGCCGCGGUAA